UUGAUUAUGAAUAGAUUGUCUUUUAUUGGCAAUAUUAAACUGCUCCUUUUCCUCAGAGAGAAAGAGAAGAAACCAUUGACUCUUAAAUCAUUUUUGCCCUGACAUCUUGCAGGCAAUGAUGUCUUUCUAAUAAUGAAGACCUUCCUCCUGGCUCGCCUUAUGACUGUAGUCAAGGACAGGUGUACAGUGUGUGUGUGUGAGUGUGUGUUUAAGUGUGUGUGUGUGUGUGUGUGUGUGUGUGUGUGUGUGUGUGUGUGUGUGAGUGUGUGUUUAAGUGUGUGUGUGUGUGUGUGUGUGUGUGUGUGUGUGUGUGUGUGUGUGUGUGUGUGUGUGUGUGUGUGAAAGCUGCUGCAGUCUUUGCUGGACGUGAUGUGCAUGCAGGUGUGUGUAUGAUGGUGGAUCAAUGGUUUCCCAGCCGUGUUAACUGUGUUGUUGAAUUUACAAUACAUCAUCUUGUCAUUUCUCUACAGAUUGCAACUCACCAUGCAGACGAGUGAAAUGUCUGCCUAGUCCUGGAGUGGUGUCUUUUGGGGUCUAUAUCACCAUCUAGGGGAUGUGAAAGUCAACCAGACUGUCAGACCAUGGCCACAUUUGUCUACUACCAGGUGAGAGAUGCAUGAAAUAUAAUCUAGAAUUAACUUUUAGCAAGUUUGAGACGAAGCAGAAGCAGCCGUCGGCUCAGUUUGUCAACAAUUGCAGCGUAAGCUAGCAUUAGCUCACUGCUAUCAAUGCACUGCUAAAAUAGUCUGUCUGCGUUGGUGCUUAUAAUAACAAUAUCACUCAUAUUUGGUUAAUUUUCAGGUCAUGACAUGUAAAUGUAGUUUUGUUAGUGUUUUCUGGAUGUUUUUAGAGAGUAUAAUGAGCACAAAAGAGGACCCUCAAUGUGUUGACUCAAUUGUUCGCUAUUAAUUUACGAUUUUGAGUGCAUAAAAAAGCCAAGCAUGUGUUUUUGUCUUACAUAAAGAUUGUGAAUGAUAAACGGCACAUCUCUUUCUAAUUUUUUGCAUAUUUCCAGUAUGACUGAUCUGAUAACAUGGUCAGAGUGCAAAAGUGUUACUACCGUGAUGCCAAUCUUUGAAAAUUACCAAAGGUGUUCGGAGCGGAAUAUUCAAAAUAGUUGACUGAAUAUGUGGAAUUUUGUGAUGUUAAAAAAUUGUGUUUUUACACACUUUGCGGACUGUAAAUACAAGCCUCCUUUCAGUGCAUGGAGACAUGAUGGGCUCAUGUUAUAACAUCACUAGGAAGCUGCAGAGAACAUCAAGGAGAUAUUGGAUCUGCAGGAUGAAUUGUUGAUGAGACAAAGUUACUGCUUAAGUGACAGUAAUAAGAAUGUGAGAGCUAGGUUACAUGACUCUUUGAGAUGUAACAGUUUCAUUAUAUGUUUCGUUUUAGCACAUUUAAAUAACAAUCAAAAACCAGGCUUAGCUUGUUAAAGUGCAUGUUUUUCAGAAUCAGAAUCAGAAUAGUUUUUAUUACCAUUGUUUGAGAACGGGUUCACAAACUAGGAAUUUUACUUGGUGCAAUCGUGCAAUAUAAAACACAUAUAACACAGAAUAGGUAAUAAAAUGAGCUGUAACUGAGCUAUCAGAUCGUGUUAUUGUUCAUGUGCCUGAUGGCCAAGGGGAAAAAACUGUUCAGGUAGUGGGAGGUGUGGGUCUGGAUGGACCGUAGUCUCCUGCCUGAGGGGAGAGGGGAGAAUAGUUUGUGUCCAGGGUGAGAAGAGUCAGCUGUGAUCCGACCCACACGCCUCCUGGUCCUGGAGGAGAACAGGUCCUGGAGGGAUGGGAGUUUGCAGCCAAUAACCUUCUCAGCAGCACGUACGAUGCGCUGCAGUCGAUGCUUGUCCCGGACUGUGGCGCCGGAGAACCACACGGUGAUGGAGGAGGCCACGUUAAAUGACGUGCCGGGCCAGAUCUGGCCCCCGGGCCUUGAGUUUGACACGUGUGUUAGGUGGACUGAUUGGAGACAACUGGGACAAUUCACAAUCAAGCGACAUGAUUGGAGAAGGGGACUUGGAGUUGCGGUUUAAAUGCCAGCAGAAGGAACACACACGCAGAGUUCGGAGGUUAGGAAGGCAGAAAAGGGUGUCCUGACGGAGGAGCAGGGACACGAGUGGACUGGAGAAGCGAGAGUGACGUGCAGGGAAAGGGUCGAGAGUCUGAUGCCGAGCAACAAAGCACUGGAGUGACGACACGGCAGACAGACGGCAGGUGGCCAGGACGCGCACAUGCCGACGGGAAAUAUCGGCUCAACGCUCACAAUACGCUAAGUAAAGGAAAGCAAAAUAAAUCUGUGCCUGGUGGGCGUGUUUAUGACGAGCUGUUGCCUAUGCUGCUCAGUGAGUGCACCCUUCUGCUCUCCUUACAGCGGUGUCGCAGGACUUGCAUGGCCGUAGCCAAGCUAAAAGAGGUCAAAGAGCACGGCCACCCUUUGGACUCCUCUUCCCCCCCAGCAAAGAAAGGCAGCUGGAACAGAUCCGGACAGAAAGAGAUGAGAACUAUUUUGACUUUUUUAAUCUUUUAUUACACUUUUUUUUAAAUCAUCGUUUUUGUUGUUAAUUUUUAACUGUCCUGUUAUAUUACUUUUUUAGCUGGAUUUAAAUCAUUUAAACCAGUGGUCC